UCGGCUGUUAACCGAAAGGUUGGUGGUUCGAUCCCACCCAGGGACG
rnacentral:tRNA from 1 species